rnacentral:lncRNA from 1 species
CUAUAAAAGGGGACUUCAGGCUCACUCCAAAGGCAUCAGUUCCUCUCAUUCUAGAGCGUAUUAUACGGAGUGAAUCGCCGAUUCUGUUAGUGCAAUCGCCGAUUCCUCUCGGAAGACUUGACGUAGAGCGCAUGUCGUGAAUCUCAGAGCCUCUGGCAUACCAAGAUAGCCGCUUGCACCACCGCGAGCGUUGGUAGGACUUUAUGUGCUUCAUCAACAUUAAUAUAAGUUCAAAUAUGGAUUAAAACAUAAGUACAUAACCUCAAAUCCAAACAUAAAUAUCAGGCAGAAAAUCAGAAGAUAGAAAAUCAGAAAAAAACAGAAAAACAGAAAACAGGAAAACGGAAAAUAAAAAAAAGAAAAACAGAAAAAAGAAGACAAACCGAAGAAAGAAAAGAAGAAAACCUUAACUUUCCUUGAACCAAAAAAACAAUCGAACAACAACUUUGUUGUACGAAAACAGGCCUCAAAUCCUCCAAUGGAGAUGCAAUCCGUAAACUAAAAAUCAUUCAUAUCCUUACAUAAUUUCAUUUCAUUUUUAAUAACAAUACUUCAUACUAAAAUUAUUCUAGUAGAAGGAUUGAAUAUAUCCACGUACCUUGAUCUCCUCUUAAUUUUUUCUUCUAACACUUGCAAUCCCUAGCCGAGUCCUUCCCUUCCUCUUCCUUCAAAUUUCCGUCCCCCUCUUUUCUAUUUUUAACACCUCCUAUUUAAAGAUUUAACUCCCUCCUCAAUUUCGUCUAAAUCUUUCCUUUAUCUUUUUCUCAAUUAAUUAAGAAUAUUCUCUUUAAUUGAUUCUUUUGAUCCAUUUGCCCCUAUUUUAAAAAUGUUUCUUUCCUUUAAUUUAAUUGACUAAUUUAACCUUAAAUUGAAAUCAAUUAAGAAUAUUCUUUUGACCUUAUUGCCCUUAUAUUUUAAAAAAACGUUUUCUUAAUCUAAUUGACUAAUUUACCCUUACAUUGAAAUCUUAUUUAUUUUCUUAUUUAAUUAAACCAUUUAGAUUCAGCCCAAUUCGAAUAGGUCCACUAAAUUUUAUUUACUUAAGUUCAGCCCCACUUAGGCCUCGCCCAUACUUGACUAACCUAAUUACUUAUUAAAUUUAAUUAGGCCUAGCCUAAUUGACCUUAACCCAAUCGGUUAGGCUGAGUUGCUCUAGUAGUCUAGUUCUGUCCUAUUUUAGCUAAAAUUUCCCAAUUCUGCUCCUGUAAUUAGGGUUUUCUUUUACUAUUAAGACCCCUAAUUUUUCCAGAAUAUUACAGAAAAACUUUUAAAUAGAUGGUGUGGGGAUUCUUAUCAUAUGGGGGAAGGUGAUGAUACAAGUUUUGGUAAUCUUAGUAUCUAAGGAUGACUCCCUUGCUAAUCCGAAGCUAGGGGGAAUACUGAUGAUCAAGGUUUUUCAGACAUUUAUGCGUUCAUGUGAUGGAGUUGGUCGCAUAAACACCUAAGGCGCCUAGGCGUCGUACGAGAGAUGGUUGGAGAGGUUUAUAGCCGUGUCGUCUAAACCCCGGGAAUCGUACGAUGGACAGUUGAUCGCACCAUGAUCAAUUGGGCCCCUGGACUAGUCGACUGGUCAAGGACCCAAGGCACGAGAUGUACUCCAGUCCCUUAUGGUGGACCAAGGGCCCUAUCGACUGAAUCCCAAUCGGCUGGAUACCCUUGGGAAAACUUAUAAAUCGGAUCGGAGUCUCAAUGUGUAGGGGAUCAUAUUCAUUCCAUUCAAAGUAAAUAGUAGAGCGAACUUCAGCUGUCGAAGAGCUUCCGGUUCUCGACCCGCAAGCCAACCACACACACACUAGUCGAUUCCUUAUUUGGUCUAGUAGACCUGUGAUCCGGUCGACUAUGGCUUUAAAAAGCACUGACGAGGUUUAACCUCCAUCACAAGGGAACUAGUUUACUGAACUUAAAGAACCACUCUUCCUGUAGCAAUGAUCAAACGGUAUGAAUAUUGGCAUUUCAAUUCAUUUGGAAUGGAAUAAAUUAAGAAAACAAAUAUCAUGAUAAAGUAUAACUAAAACAUACCAUUAUGGUGUAGCAGAUCAGAUGGAAAUCGGCUACUAAGAACUUGGAUUGAUUAAAUCCAAAUGAGAGAAU